GACGAACGCUGGCGGCGUGCUUAACACAUGCAAGUCGAGCGGUAAGGCCCUUCGGGGUACACGAGCGGCGAACGGGUGAGUAACACGUGGGUGACCUGCCCCCAACUCUGGGAUAAGCCCGGGAAACUGGGUCUAAUACCGGAUAUGACCUCUCAUCGCAUGGUGGGUGGUGGAAAGUUUUUCGGUUGGGGAUGGGCCCGCGGCCUAUCAGCUUGUUGGUGGGGUGAUGGCCUACCAAGGCGACGACGGGUAGCCGGCCUGAGAGGGCGACCGGCCACACUGGGACGGAGACACGGCCCAGACUCCUACGGGAGGCAGCAGUGGGGAAUAUUGCGCAAUGGGCGGAAGCCUGACGCAGCGACGCCGCGUGGGGGAUGACGGCCUUCGGGUUGUAAACCUCUUUCGCCAGGGACGAAGCGUGAGUGACGGUACCUGGAUAAGAAGCACCGGCCAACUACGUGCCAGCCGCCGCCGUAAAAC
rnacentral:rRNA from 1 species